rnacentral:tRNA from 1 species
GCCGCCGUAGCUCAACGGCAGAGCGCCGGAUUUGUAAUCCGGUGGUUAGGGGUUCAAGUCCCCUCGGCGGCUCCA